CGAACGGGUGAGUAACACGUGAGUAACCUGCCCCAGACUCUGGGAUAACUUCGGGAAACCGGAGCUAAUACCGGAUAUGACACGAAGAGGCAUCUCUAUCUUGUGGAAAGUUCUUCGGUCUGGGAUGGACUCGCGGCCUAUCAGCUUGUUGGUGAGGUAACGGCUCACCAAGGCGACGACGGGUAGCCGGCCUGAGAGGGCGACCGGCCACACUGGGACUGAGACACGGCCCAG
rnacentral:rRNA from 1 species